rnacentral:rRNA from 1 species
GACGAACGCUGGCGGCGUGCUUAACACAUGCAAGUCGAACGGAAAGGCCCUGCUUUUGUGGGGUGCUCGAGUGGCGAACGGGUGAGUAACACGUGAGUAACCUGCCCUUGACUUUGGGAUAACUUCAGGAAACUGGGGCUAAUACCGGAUAGGAGCUCCUGCUGCAUGGCGGGGGUUGGAAAGUUUCGGCGGUUGGGGAUGGACUCGCGGCUUAUCAGCUUGUUGGUGGGGUAGUGGCUUACCAAGGCUUUGACGGGUAGCCGGCCUGAGAGGGUGACCGGCCACAUUGGGCCUGGGGUACGGCCCAGACUCCAACGGGAGGCAGCAGUGGGGAAUAUUGCACAAUGGGCGGAAGCCUGAUGCAGCGACGCCGCGUGCGGGAUGACGGCCUUCAGGUUGUAAACCGCUUUCGCCUGUGACGAAGCGUGAGUGACGGUAAUGGGUAAAAAAGCACCGGCUAACUACGUG